rnacentral:rRNA from 1 species
GAUGAACGCUGGCGGCGUGCCUAAUACAUGCAAGUCGAGCGAACAGACGAGGAGCUUGCUCCUCUGACGUUAGCGGCGGACGGGUGAGUAACACGUGGAUAACCUACCUAUAAGACUGGGAUAACUUCGGGAAACCGGAGCUAAUACCGGAUAACAUGUUGAACCGCAUGGUUCAACAGUGAAAGACGGUCUUGCUGUCACUUAUCGAUGGAUCCGCGCCGCAUGAGCUAGUUGGUAGGGUAACGGCUUACCAAGGCAACGAUGCGUAGCCGACCUGACAGGGUGGUAGGCCACACUGGAAGGGAAACGCCGUCCAGAGGACUGCGGGACGCAGCAGAAGGCAAUGUGCCGCAGUGGGCGGAAACCUGACGGAACGACGCCGCGUGAGUGGAAGAAAUCUUCGGAGCGUAAAACUCGGUUAUUAGGGAAAAACAAAUGUGUAAGUAACUAUGCACGUCUUGACGGUACUUAGUCAGAAAGCCACGGCUAACUACGUG